GCCUUGUAGCUCCACCACGUCCCAAGUGUUUUUGAAGGGUUGGUUAGCCACGACGUCAGCAUACGUAAUUUUGCCGGUUGUAUCUUCUAUGGUUUUCCGAAUCCCUCCAGCGUUUAUGUAAGCUAUCGCAGCAUAAGUCCAUGGCUUACUCACAGCAUCAACCAUGGCGUCGGUGAUUAAGUUUCCCACAUUACACUCUCCGUAUCUGCAAUAGUUGUAAAGUCGGACCUUGGUCGUUCCAACCGUUGUGUCGCCCAACUCGUCAACCGCCACUUGCCACGGUACUAGGGCAGCCAGUACGUCAGGAUCUGUAGCAACAAUCGUGCGCUUGAAGAUCACCCCCACUCUUAUUAUGACCGGAACAAUGAAUGGAGAGAUGAAGGAGCCUACCUUCUUCGAUGGAGCUGUCGAGUAGAAUAGGAUUCCCUUCCCAAUUGUAGACUUCACCAUCGGCGUCGAACCAAACGCUGAUGUUACCCAGGUAUCUGAAAUUGUCAAUGAUCGCGGUUGUUGCUGCUAAUCAAGUCCUAAUGGGCUUAAGAUACGGAUAAGUUUUGACAAAUAACCCUACGUGGUAUAAGCAUAAGCCUGAACGAUGAGUACCGUCCUUUGAGUGUCUUCCUGGACCACCACGACCGGAUACUCAUCCUCGGCAACGUCGGAACUUGGCGAAGUUCCUGAAAUCGUGACAGUUUUAGCAAUGAGGUGACAUAUUAUGUGCGUCAGUCUCAAAAAUUAAUUACAUAUAUCGCACCUGAGUAAAGAAAAGUGUGAGAGUGGCCACCGACAAUGAGGUCAACCUUUGGGCAAUUGGCAGCUAAUUCUCUGUCCACAUCCAGACCGCAGUGCCUUAGAACAAUGAUGAUUUCAAUCCCCUGUGCCUUUAGUCUCGGUGCUUCAUCAUUCACGGUCUCAAUUUCAUCCCAAAAAGCCAGCUUCUCCGUGCUUGCGAGAGUCUACGGAUGAACAAAUUCUAGUGAAGAGUCAUGCAUCUUGGAAGGGACCGUCUUAAAAGAACGCGAGUGUCUCGAGAAAACUGUCACUGCCAAAUGCUUAUUGACCGAAGUGGUGAAAGUCUACACAAUGUUUCUAAAAGGUCCUCGCAGAUAUCACACCAGUUCAUUCAAAGAGAACCUUCAAGACUCAAAGUGAGGGACCUGAAACAAUAGUUAGGAGUUUGGAUGCUCACGUUAGUUGUCGAGAGUAUUACUCCGAUUAUUCCUAUCUGAGUUCCAUUUCGUUCAACAAUCGUGCUAUUGGUGUACAAUCCUUGGAUAUCCGGUUCUUCACUAUCGUCAAUAUUUGUAACGACGACCGGAGUGGUGAGCAUUUCCAGAAAAGGCACUACGCCACCAUUCCCGUUGUCAAACUCGUGAUUUCCAAGAGUCUGAAUGAGGAGAAGUUCCAUGACAUCAUAUACGGUAAACAUAGAUACAUAAUUUUGAUGACGAUACUCUGCGGCAAUAAACUUUAUUAAGACGCUCUCGCACGUACCACGUAUUGCUACCUUUAGGCUAUAUCGCCGUUUCACUGUGAUGUAAAAUCUUGAACUUCUUUCCAACUAAAUUCAAUACAAAACCUCGGAUACAA